rnacentral:rRNA from 1 species
CAGCCCUAAACGAUGCGCGUUAGGUGUAUCGGUGACCACGAGUCACCGAGGUGCCGAAGGGAAACCGUGAAACGUGCCGCCUGGGAAGUACGGUCGCAAGGCUGAAACUUAAAGGAAUUGGCGGGGGAGCACCGACAACCGGGUGGAGCCUGCGGUUUAAUUGGACUCAACGCCGGGAAGCUCACCGGAUAAGACAGCGGAAUGAUUGCCGGGCUGAAGACCCUGCAUGACCAGCUGAGAGGAGGUGCAUGGCGUCAGUGACU